AGAGUUUGAUCAUGGCUCAGGACGAACGCUGGCGGCGUGCUUAACACAUGCAAGUCGAGCGGAAAGGCCCUUCGGGGUACUCGAGCGGCGAACGGGUGAGUAACACGUGAGUAACCUGCCCCAGGCUUUGGGAUAACCCUCGGAAACGGGGGCUAAUACCGGAUAUGACCUCCUGUCGCAUGGUGGGGGGUGGAAAGUUUUUUCGGCUUGGGAUGGGCUCGCGGCCUAUCAGCUUGUUGGUGGGGUGAUGGCCUACCAAGGCGACGACGGGUAGCCGGCCUGAGAGGGCGACCGGCCACACUGGGACUGAGACACGGCCCAGACUCCUACGGGAGGCAGCAGUGGGGAAUAUUGCACAAUGGGCGGAAGCCUGAUGCAGCGACGCCGCGUGAGGGAUGACGGCCUUCGGGUUGUAAACCUCUUUCAGCAGGGACGAAGCGUGAGUGACGGUACCUGCAGAAGAAGCGCCGGCCAACUACGUGCCAGCAGCCGCGGUAAGACGUAGGGCGCGAGCGUUGUCCGGAUUUAUUGGGCGUAAAGAGCUCGUAGGCGGCUUGUCGCGUCGACUGUGAAAACCCGCGGCUCAACUGUGGGCUUGCAGUCGAUACGGGCAGGCUAGAGUUCGGUAGGGGAGACUGGAAUUCCUGGUGUAGCGGUGGAAUGCGCAGAUAUCAGGAGGAACACCGGUGGCGAAGGCGGGUCUCUGGGCCGAUACUGACGCUGAGGAGCGAAAGCGUGGGGAGCGAACAGGAUUAGAUACCCUGGUAGUCCACGCCGUAAACGGUGGGCACUAGGUGUGGGCGACAUUCCACGUCGUCCGUGCCGCAGCUAACGCAUUAAGUGCCCCGCCUGGGGAGUACGGCCGCAAGGCUAAAACUCAAAGGAAUUGACGG
rnacentral:rRNA from 1 species